GCAUGUAUGCUCUUCUCUUCCUCCUUCACUAUUCAUAGAAAUAAUAAAUCCGUGUGCCCACUGUCUGCCCCAAGAUCUGAGCCCAGGCAGUAACUUCUGAGUGUGUUUGUUUUGCCUGGUCCCAUCCCAUUGACCUGUGCCUUGCAGGUGAGUAGGAUCCUGAUUUGCUUCAUCACUUUCUUCCUUCUCAAGAGAAUGAGUUUUUCAAGGCUGGCCUGGUGGGUGGCACAUGCACAUAAUCACAGUACCCGGAGGUAAAGCCAGGAAUUCAGGCCCUUUUCUGCUUCAUAGUGAGUUCAGAGCCAGUGUGGACAACAUGAGACCUUGUUUCAAAAAACAAAACGAACUGCCUGCCUCCCCAAUUAACCUCAGAUUUUUCACAUUUAAAGACAUAACCAAAGUACAGUUUAGCGUUGAAUUUUCCCUUCCCUCCCCUCUCCCUUCUUUAUGGUAUAGGGAUUGAACUCAGGGCCACAUGAAUGCAAGCAUUCUACCAUUGAGCUGUGUAUGAAACUCAAUAAUCUGAGUGUUGUUUAGUUUUAGUUGUUGUUUUGAAAGACAUGGUCUCACUGUAUAGCCCUGGCUAUCCUGGAACUUCACAGAGACCCACCUGCCUCUGUUUCCUGAAGGUGUGUGUCAUUACCCUGGCUUUUUUGUUUUUAAGUUGUAAAAGACUGUUAGCCAUUGCAGUUGGUGAUAGCCCUUAAGAUUAUUUUAUCUUGGGACUGGAGGGAUGACUCAGUGGUUAAGAGCACUGGUUACCCUUCCAGACGACCCAGGUUCAAUUCCUAGCACCCACGUGGUGGCUCACAACUGUCUGUUACUUCAGUUCCAGGGGAUCUGACGCCCUCACACAAGUGCACAUAAAAUAAGUUUAAAUAAAAAGAUUAUUUCAUUUGUAUGUCUUUCUCUAUAGUGACUGUAGCAUGUACUUCUGAUUUUUCAAAGGCUAAUAUUAACUGGUACUGUUACACUUUUCCUGAGUAAUGAAAGAUCCUAAAGUAUUUUUAUUUAUGUCUGUUUAUAUUAUUGUGAUAUUUAUUUAUUAUAUUGCUUUGUAUAUCUCUAAAACCAAGCAGACAUUUAAAGUUCUUUUACUGUUAUUAUUAUUUUAUGUGUGUGAGUGCUUUUCCUGAGUGCACGUCUGUACCACAUACAUUGCUGGUGGCUGUGCAGGUCAGAAGAGGGCAUUGGAUCCCCUGGAACUGGAGUUACAGAUGUCUGGGAGUCACCAUGUAGGUGCUGGGAAUCAAACCUCGGACCAUUGGAAGAGCAGCCUGUGCUCUUAGCCAUGGAAUCAUCUCUCCGGGCCCCCAAUUUUUGUUUCUGAAACAGUUUCUCUUCACUAGCCCAGGCUGGUCUGUCUCUGACUUGCAUUCAUCUUGCCUGUGUCUCCCAAGCGGUGGGAUUAGAAUUGCGCAUGACCACACUUGGAUGUUAAGUGGACGUUUACAGUUUUUGUUCCUCUGUUCACUCACUGUGUGCGUUUGCACUAAGGGUGAGUGUGUGCAGGUCAGAGAUUGUCUACAGGAGCUGAUUCUCUUCCUCCACCAUAUGGGGAGCAUAUUAGUUGGUCAGGACUUUACCUGCUGAGCUAUCUCAACAGCCCUAGACUGCUUUAUACAAGAUAGCAUCAACAUCAUUUAAUUCAUGAGGAAGUUUGUUAAUAAGUGAGGUGAUAUCGGUUGCAUAAAUAACCACCUUGUGUGUGACUUUAGACAUUAGACGGUGUCGGCCAGGAAUGAUUUCCUUCUGCCUGAGGGCUCUCCUUUGCAUGCGUCCCAGUUUUAUGUCUCCCAUCAUUUUUCUUUAAAAGUUUUUCUUCAUUCAACAUUUUAAGAAUGUUAAACUUCUCUUUGGCGAUCGUGUUUGAAACAGGGUCUCAGUCGGUAGCUCUGGCUCUCCUAAGCUUACUAAGUAGGCCAGGCUAGCCUCACCUCACAGAUCCACCUGCCUUUGCCUCUGGAGUGCUGGGAUUCCAGGGGUGCAUCACCACGCCCAGCUAAGGAAUGCCGUUUCUGUUCUGCGGCUUCUGUCGAGGUUAACAGAGUUUGUCACCUUGGCUUCUUGGAUGUUAAGCUGUCUCUUGCAACCUUGAAGACUUUUACAAUUUGUUUUUUAACUAGUGUGACGUAGCCAUGAUAUGAUUUUUUUUUUUGUUGUAUUUAUUCUGCUUAUAUUCUGUUGAGGUUUUGAGUAGGUUGAUUGAUGACGCUGCUAUGCAUGCUUAAUUUUCUGGUUUUAUCUUCCUAAUUCUUUACAGUUUUCUCCCCCUCUGUGAAAUUUUAAAUUAUGUGCGGUGUUCCUUAUUAUAGCCUUCAUAUUGUCUUUUACCAUCUUUUGUGAAUUUUUGGGCCUUUUCUUCUAGUAUAUUUUCCAGGUACUUAUUUUCUAUAGGCAUGUGCCUAACCUACAUUUAAGCUUUCAUGCUAAUUGUUAUGGUUUUCUUUUUAGUUUAAGAAACUCUAAGAGAUUUUUAAAUAAAUUAAUUAAUCAAUCAGUUAAUUAAUUAGUUUAUGUUGAUUUUUGAGACAAGGUUUCUCUGUGAAGCCUUGCCUGUCCUGGAAGUCACUCUGUAGACAAGCCUGGCUUUGAACUCACAGAGACUCGAUUGUCUCUGCCUCCCUGGAAUUAAACACAUGCACAGCCAACUGCCCAGCGAGAGUCACAUUUUUUGAAAGCUUAAAAAAAAAAAGAAAAAUCCAGUUCUCUGCCAAGUCUUUUAUCAUUGUCUUUUCUUUACACCUGUAGCUCCGCCUGCGCACACCUGGAUUUUAUAUGGCAGUUUGUGUGGUAUUUGUUUCUAUUUUUAUUUGUAGUGCCUCCCAUUAUUUUUAUUUAUUAUGUGCCAGAUAUUACAUGGUAGCAUUAUUAUUUUAACUGUUGUUAUUUGACAGUUGAGAUCUUGGGGACUGUUUUUCUCUAGGUGGGGAUAUGUGUGUGCUUCUGCCGGGCGCCUAGAGACCCUAGCAGUCCAGGAUGACCUCUGUUCUAGUUCUGGUUCUGUCCUUGCCUGAGUUCCUGACAUCCUUUGCAUACCACCAUCUUUAGGUCGGGCUUCAGGCCUUUCUACACGUAACACGGGUCCUCCCUCAGAAGCCCCAGUCCCUUGCAAGGACAGAGUGGUUCCAGGUUCUGUGGAGGGCACAGGCUUGCCUCCCCAGCCUCCAGCCGCCUGCUUCCGUGUUGGUAACUCAUUCAUUCUUGUUGGUACGCAGUGGGUGGGUUUGCAGAUAGACUUUUCUUACCCUCCCCACCUCUUCUCUUUUUCUUUGCCUUGUAGAAGUGUUGUUUAGAAUCAGUUUCUCAUUACUUGAAGCCCAUUAUUUCUUCAACUGUUACCUCUUAUUUUUCUUUUUUCCUGACUUCUAUCUUUUUUUUAAAUGUUUCUCACUCAGUGGUUUAGUUUCUUUAAACUUACCUCAUUUUAGGAAGGGCCCAUCAAUCUCGAUCCCAUGAUUCUUUGGCAACUAGCUACAGCUUAUUGCUUUGCCUAGCACAGAGGGAGAGAGAGCACUCAAUUGUGCUGAACUACACGACACUAUCUUAGGAAAGAAUUGAAAUUCAAAGUCAGAUUUCUCAGGAAUACAUGUUAAUUUCAUAUCCAUCAAGUAAAAAAAAAUCAUUACAUCAAACAAGUUGGAAGACCAUCUGUAUCUAAUUUAUGAUGGAGUUGUAUGAAAAUUUUUUUUGUGUCCUAUGAAAACCAGACUAGCAAUCAUUUUAAAGUUGUAUUUUUGAAGUUUAUUUUGGAUACAUAUAAAAAAUUUCAUGGCUCCCUCUUAGUAGUGAACGUUUAAAACAGAACAGUAUAAAACUGUGCUUAACAUUCAUGAGGCUCUGGGUGUAUACACAGCCAGUGUUGUCUUCCUCCCUGCAGUGGCAAAGUAGUAAUGGAUUAUUCUAUUUUACAUAAAAACAAAUUUGUUCCUUAAAAUUGGAGCUGCUUAACCAGGAGUAUAGAAUGGACUUUGCUGGAAACAUAAUAUUAGGUUCCAGAGUUCCUCAUUAGUGAUUCUAAGCAAAGCUGCGGCAGAGACAUUUCACAUUCGAGCGUAGUCUAUACUCGAAUCCCUGUUUUUUCUAUGAUGCCCUCAAGACAACAAAGAAAAAUAAAACACAUAAAACCGGGGUUUUGGUUGGAGUAGGAGCCUUCCCUAACAGUAGACUCAACUCUUGGAGGGUCUGCUUGCAGCAAUGCUAGGAAAUUUCCAGGACACGGUAGAGUGUGAGCGUGUGGUGGUGGCCAUGGAUAGCUGUCUUGAGGACCAGAGGUGGAGGUCUGGGUGUCAUCACUACAUCCUGCCAGGCUGGGUGCUACCACUGUGUAUCCUGGUGAGUGAGACCACCGUGUGCCACUGUGUGACCUGCUGCUGCUGUAACCUGUAAACCGAGCAACACCGAGUCACCUGGGAACGGAAAGAUACACGGAAGCACUCAUGUCUUGUCCUGGAGCUGUAGCUCUGUCUCCACAAGUCAGCCUGACAUAGGGAGAGGCAGAUCGAUAAAGUUUUGAGCACUAGCUAAUAUUUCAGACUGUUUUUUUUUUUUUUUGGUUUUUAUUUGUUCUUUUGCAUCUGUAUUAAAAUAUUUUUAAACGUUGUUAAAGAAAGGGCUGGACAGAUACCUUUCUCUAAGGGAACUCUCCAAAGGAGCCUUGGAACCGUGUGACUCACAUCAGAACCCGUCAAGGCUCUUGUGCCCAUCCUCAUGUCCACCUACCCCAGACUCCACAAGCCUCGUAGCUGUCCUCCUUUUUCCCAGCAUGCUUAUUUCUUUCUUUGUACAGUGUGGUUGCUCCUAGCCCCGCCCUGAUCCUGCCUCAAGAACUCUUUUUCUCAGAGUUCACCUCAGCUUUUGCUCCGACUGCCUGCUUUCGAUACUUCGACACACACGGUGGUCCCUUUGAGGACCCGGUGCUUGCUGUGUGACUGCCUUGGCCUUCAUCUAUGCAAUGCCUCAUUAAGAGCGACAUAAUGGGUGGAUGGAUGAGCUUGAAACUCUACGAGGACAGAGCUUCUCCUUUGUCCUUGACUCCUUAGCAAGCACAGCGCAGGAUUCGUAGCGCGGGUCUCUGAGACUGAGAUGAAAAGCUGCAGGUAUCCGAUUAGGAGAAAAUCAAGUCGUAUUUGGAGUUAUUUUCCUUGAUUAAGCUGUUUGACAUUCUUAAGUGGGCUCUCCACUUGCAGUUGAUUAUUGCAAAACCCACUCACCCUGAAGUUUUUAAAAUUAUGAUUAAUUGGAAAAAUAUGAGUUUCUGGAAAUCAAAGUGAAAUGCUCUUUUAGCAACAUUGCAUAAUUGGACUGGCAACAGUGUUUCUAAAGCACAAAUCUAUUUUCAUACGAGAAGUACUAAUUUAUGGUUGGCAGCAUGCACAAUUGUUUGCUAAAGAUGCAGAAACAGUUCACUCAAGUAAAAAAAAUGUUUCUGGUAAUCUUGCUCCAAAAGUAUUUAUUAAUUUGAAUAUGAAACUCUUAAUAGAUACUGCACAAACCAGGAAACAUCACCCAAAUGAGGUUAGUUAGUCAAAAGAUAGGUCGAAUAUGAGGCUUUACUAAACUGAAAUGGACAGUUUCACCCCAAAGGGCACAGGUGAGGUUUGCAGAUCCUCUGAAGAUACCUGUGUGUUAAAACCUCCCUGAUUAUUCAGGGUGAGCCACUGUCUGCCUACCUGGGCGCAGACCUCAUAAUGGAGUUUCCUCAGUGUGGGAUAUUAAGAACCCCUUUUAGAAGUCACGUGCAAGGCUUAUUGUCAGUCUGUAAAAUGAUAGAUAGGUGUGUGGAAGUGAGUCAUGGAGUAGCCUAAGGUAGAGACUUACCUUGCUCCUUGUGGAGAUGGGUGCUUGAUACAGGCUGCUGUUUGACUGGGGCUGAAAUAACAAGUUUCUUUCUAGCCUUUCAUUUUAGUCCUUGGAUCCGGUUAAUACGCACUCUUGUGCUGCGUUUAAAGUGAUGGCCUACAAUCAGCUCCCAGCUGUCCUAGGCCAAGUCAGUGAGCUACACGGUUUGUGCUGAAACUUCUUCCAAAUCAUGCUUGAAGAGAAUUAGUUGUGAUGGAAACUCGUAUUUUACAUCAGAAGUAGUAAACCAUGGAUACUUGUGAGGUUUGACCAUAAGCAGGCUUUGGCAAGUGGCAGCUGCCUGCUCAGUCUUAAUAGAACGUGUGUGGUGUGCAUGGAGUAAUUCUAGAUGUCUGGUAGGAAGAAUCAAGAGUGAGUCCUUCCCAGAAGAAUCAGCUAGAUGAACAUAAUCAUGGGGUCUAGCUUCUACGUGACUACGGUUUCUCUUGAUGCCCCUAAUUGUAGAGGGAAGAUGCCUAGCUUUAAAAGAACGUCAGAACUGAAAGCUACCCUUUCUUUGCUUGGUGACAGUAUGGGAAGUAGCCAAGAAAAAUGCUCCUGACAGAGAGGUCACUGCUAACGUUUGGUUUAUCAAAUAGUGAAGAGGGGGAAGCUAAGGAGUUUUACUUUGUUAUUUUGUUUUAUUAUUAUUUUUUUUGAGACAGGAUCUCACUAUGUAGCUUUGUAGACUGGCCUGGCCUUGAACUCACAAGGACCCCACCCUCCCAAGUACUGGGAUUUAAGGCCCCCCCAACUGACUCCUUUUAAAAUUUAAUUAUUUUAUGUGUAUGGGGUAUUUUGGCUGCAUAUGUAUCUGUGUACCACACAUAUUCAGUGUCCACAGAAGCCAGAAGAAGGUAUCCAAUCUCCUGGAAGCGGAAUUACUUGUGGCUAUGAACUGUGGGAGCUGAGAAUCAAACCCAGAUCAUCUGGAGGCGCAACCAGUGCUCUUAACCACUGAGCCAUCUCUCCAGCCCGAUGUUUCUUUUUGCAGACUGUCAAUAAGCACUUUGAUAGUAGAAACUGUGACCCUAAACCUGUAUGUGAUGGGAUGAUAAGGCUUGAGGUCACUUCCCACUCUCAGAAUGCCUAGCUACGUAACUUAAAGAUUCUCAGCAUUUUCACCAAGUGAUUCUGUUCUGUACAUUCAUCUCCCUUACAUCAGUUUUAAUCUUGAAUACCCACGUUUUUCCAGAGUCCGACAUUUCUUCGGCUUUAUUUACGUACACUGUCUCUUACCGAGUAGCCCAUUCAUGCUUAGAUGUGCACCCCUUACUCUCAAUAAAGCAGGCGGUGCACAGUGGGUCUGAGCAUGUGUGCUGCUGGCACAUUGGAGAGAGGAUCGGUCUCUGGCUUGCUGGGUGGGAGACUGGAGAUUGCUGUGUGGCUGUCAUGGAAUCAUCUUGCACGGAAAAAUGCAAGAUGAUUCGUGAAGGGAACACACACUGCAUGCUCCUAGUGAUAACUUGGUGGUUGGAAAUCCUUCUUACCAUAAAUGCCCCGAUAUACAUUAUUCUGUAAGUGAGUAAAUCACUUGGCUAGAGACCAGCCGUGGAGACGAGUGAUAAUCCGACUGAGUGGUAUUUUAGUGCUGUUCUAGGUUUUUUCUAUGUUUGAACAUAAAAUUGAGACUAGGAGUAUUAUAUGUAACAUAUAAGUUGAGUCAAAGAAUGUUAGAAUAAAGGCUGCAAAAUAUUUAAAAACAUUCAUGUUUCUAAAAUGUUUUGAAGAUUAGGAAAACGCUGUAUAAGUGCUAUUAUUAGGAUGAAUUUUAGAAGUAAAAUGUUAUAGUAUCAGUAAGAAUUACUUUUGUGAUUCACUUCACUGAAGAGGUGCGUGUUGAUCUGUCUCUUUUGUACUUAGGUGCUGGUGUACUUUCCUUCUGUUUGCACACGUGUCAUCAGUUUCUUUUCCAUAGUAAGGAAUAGAUAUUAUUUUGUCUCUUUGAAGGGAAAAAGUGAGAUUUGGAGCCAACACACACACACACACACACACACACACACACACUAUUCAUUAUUAUUCCUUAAUUUUUUAUAAUAAAACAUUAAGAGAGAAUAUAUAAAUACAGUUAAAGGUAGUUUCAAAAACAUUUUGGUGAUUUAUUUAAUUUGCUUUAUGUGAUGGUGUUUGCUUGCUUUUCGUCUGUAUCUUGUGCAUGCAGUACCUACAGAGGCCAGAAGAGGGCAAAAGAUCCCUUGGAGCUAGAGUUACAGACGUUUAUUAGUUGUCCAGUGGUUGCUGGGAAUCAAACCCGGAUCCUCUGGAAGAGCAGUCAGUGUUCUUAACCAUUGAGAUAUCCAUAUCUCAGGCACGAAGAAUUUUGAAAUGCUGAGAAAAGUAGGGGAUUUGAGAUUAAGGAUCUUAGUAAAUGUGAGGGAGACAAAGGUCUUAUGGAGCAGAGAGGCUUGGGAGAAAUGCAAAAUCUCUUGGUUUUUCAAAACAAGGUUUCUCUUUGUAGCUCCGUCUCACUCUGUAGACCAGGCUGGCCUCAAACUCAGGAUCCAUCUGCCUCUGUCUCUCCAGUGCUGGGAUUACCGAUGUGGGCUAUCACAGCUCAAAUGUAAUGUAACUUCAGGGUUAAGACUGUAAGCACAUAGCUAGCACCUUGAGCACUGUGCUAGAGUUCUCAGCUCAGGACGUAUAUCAAGAUCAUGGGAAGAGUUUUAAAAAUGAUGGUGAGCUUUGGGUACCCAAGGAGUAUAUCCAGACAUCUCUUUAAAGGGAACUCUCAGGACAACAUUGCUGAUUUCCAUAAAAACGUUCUGUUGUGAAUUUUAGAUUUGUGAGAUAAUGAGAAAUGUGCAUGUUGGUCUGUGGCCCAGCUCCUGACAGUCUCUGUGAGCCAUGGGCCCUAGGGGAACCUUGUUCUUGUUUAGUCUCUGCCUUGGUUCCUGAGACAGAACUCCUAACACACUUGCUGACGGUGGAACGGGGAUCCGGGGUAAGUUUUGUUCUGGUAGUCUUUGAUGCUGGUUCCUGAUAAGUUUUUAAGUCACGGGGAUAUCUGGUACAGUUCCCAAAUUCCUCAGAAUCUCCUGUAUGAGGGGAACAGCUUUUGUUCUAAUCAGGUGAUUAGAUAAGGCUCUGGGAUAACCUCAGCAUGGACGUCGGUUGCUUUGGAUCCAGUCUGUGAGAUUACAGUUGGAACUGGCAGCUGCAGUCACAACCUCCCUCCUUACAGAGGUGCUGGGGGGCAGGGGUGGGGAGCCAAUGGCUUAAUCACUUCUGUACAUAAUGAAGCUUCAUAACCCCUGGGGGAAAUGAAUGUGAGGGCUUCUGGAUGACUGGACAUACUCCUCACCUGAGGAGAGCAUGGGAGCUCUGCGCCCGUCCCCAUGCGGAUCCCGUGUAUCUUUUCAACACUCCUCAACCUACCCGUGUCCUUCAUUGUGUCCCCUAAGAAUAAAUGUGUGAACAUAGUCACCCUAAAUUCUGAUCAAGUCCACAGAGGAAGUUACAGGAACCCCUGACUUAGAGAGUAAGAUGUACAUGUUAUCUACGUAUCUAGGUCUUGAAACUGGCUUCUGAGUCCUUCGGUCUGUCUAUUAGGUUGAUGGUGUCAGAAUCUGAUUCUCUCAUCUCCACCUCCUCUGGCUGGGGUUAGAUAGGUGCUAUCACACCUGACUUUCUGUGUGGGUGCUAAAGGCCCUAAUUCAGCUGCUUGUGCUUAUACCCUGUCUUGGUUAGGGUUUCUAUUCCUGCACAAACAUCGUGACCAAGAAGCAAGUUGGUGAGGAAAGGCUUUUUUCAGCUUCCACAUUGCUGUUCAUCACCAAAGGAAGUCAGGACUGGAACUCAAGCAGUUCCUGAACCACGAGGGGAGUCCUGAUUUGAUGAAGACAUCCCAAUUAGGACCGAGUGUUUUAAGCGAGGGCCGAGGCAAGCUGACCGUCUUUUCAGUUAAAGCUAUGUUAGCAACCAUGUGUGGUGGAAAGAUGCUGGACAAAUUGAGAUACAUUUUCUCCCAGAUGUCAGAUUCGAAUGGUUUAAUGAUGUUUGGCAAGCUUGACCAGUUUCUGAAGGAAGCCCUGAAACUCCCAACAGCUGUCUUUGAAGGGCCAUCCUUUGGUUACACGGAACACGCAGUCCGUACCUGUUUCCCACAGCAGAAGAAGAUAAUGCUGAAUAUGUUUUUAGACACCAUGAUGGCCGAUCCUCCUCCACAGUGCCUUGUCUGGCUACCUCUCAUGCACAGGCUUGCCCAUGUCGAGAAUGUCUUCCAUCCUGUGGAAUGCUCCUACUGUCACUGCGAGAGCAUGAUGGGCUUCCGAUACCGAUGCCAGCAAUGCCACAACUAUCAGCUCUGCCAGAACUGCUUUUGGCGUGGCCAUGCCGGUGGCCCUCACAGCAACCAGCACCAGAUGAAGGAGCUUUCCUCUUGGAAAUCCCCUGCAAAGAAGCUGAGCCAUGCAAUUAGUAAAUCUUUGGGAUGUGUACCCUCCAGAGAACCCCCACAUCCUGUUUUUCCUGAGCAACCAGAGAAACCACUUGACCUUGCACAUAUCGUUCCUCCUCGCCCUCUGACCAAUAUGAAUGACACCAUGGUUAGCCACAUGUCCUCUGGAGUGCCCACUCCCACCAAGAGGUUACAGUAUGGCCAGGACAUGCCCAAUCUCUUGGCUGAUGAGCAUGCACUGAUAGCCUCCUAUGUGGCCCGUCUGCAACACUGCACACGUGUCCUGGACAGUCCUAGCCGACUGGAUGAGGAACACCGGCUUAUAGCCCGCUAUGCUGCCCGGCUAGCUGCAGAGGCAGGAAACAUGACUCGUCCUCCCACUGAUGCCAGCUUCAACUUUGAUGCCAACAAACAACAGCGACAGCUCAUCGCAGAACUGGAAAACAAGAACAGAGAGAUCCUGCAGGAGAUCCAGCGCCUGCGGCUGGAGCAUGAACAGGCUUCGCAGCCCACUCCUGAGAAGGCCCAGCAGAACCCCACGCUGCUCGCAGAGCUGCGCCUGCUGAGGCAAAGGAAAGAUGAGCUGGAGCAGAGGAUGUCGGCGCUGCAGGAGAGUAGGCGGGAGCUGAUGGUGCAGCUGGAGGGGCUGAUGAAGCUGCUAAAGGAGGAAGAACAAAAACAGGCAGCUCAAGCCACAGGGUCACCACAUACAUCACCCACUCACGGAGGUGGCCGCUCUAUGCCCAUGCCCGUGCGUUCCACAUCUGCUGGCUCCACCCCGACCCACGGCCCGCAGGAUUCACUGAGUGGAGUUGGGGGAGAUGUGCAGGAGGCCUUUGCACAAGGUACGAGGAGAAACCUCCGCAAUGACCUGCUGGUGGCUGCUGACUCCAUUACCAACACCAUGUCAUCCCUGGUGAAGGAGCUCCAUUCAGGAGAGAUCACACAUGUGUCCUGAUUGGCUUUCCCAGCUAAGGUUAGCCCAGGAGCGGCCGGGACACAGGAAGCUCAGGCGCAGAGGCGGAGGAGCAAGCUGGCACCGACAAGACAAGGGAAGGUCUUCCCCCAGAGGCACAUUCCUAUCCGUCUUUCUGCUGCACACCUGGACCAGGCUUGCAGGCUGCCAGACUCAUUCAACCUCCAGAGAGAAGAGCCAAGCCUAUGGGAAGUGGGGAGGGACUGCCUGAGGCUGCAGCUGGUGGGCCUCCUGCAUGUACUAGCAUCUGCAUUCCUCCCUCAGGGCAUGGUCUCAUCUCUGCAUCAGGAAUUUACCAGGAGAUGGAAAAGAAAAGAAAAAGCGCUGA